AAUGGUGCAUAAAUAUCUGGUCAAUUAAAUUAGUUUGUAGAAUUUGAUUGUAAUAAUUCUGAAAGUUCGAACUAGAAAUUAGAAUGAAUUAAAUUUUAAGGACCAAAGUUUCAGCUGACUGAUAGUUUGAGCACCAAACGAGCAAUUUACCUUUAAAUUUACUACAACAGAAUUAGGUUAUAAGGACAUAUUUUUGGAAUGCUUUUAUAUAAAUGUCUCAUUUAUUUUUAAAAAAUCUAGUAAGGCCUAAAUAUAAAGUCCAAUCAAAUAAAAAACAAAAAGUUAUUCUACUCAACCAACCACAUCCAACCCAUUCAGCCCGAUUACAAAUAAAAAAGAAAAAAAAAUUGAUCAUCAUCUCCCCUUCUCCUCCUUCGAGAGCUACGAUCGCCACAUAUCCCUCCGCCACAAAUCGUUGGAAGAUUGAAUGUCAAAUACCAAGACGGCCCUACCUAUAGCGACCCUACAUAUAGCAACACUUUUAAAAAGUGUUGGUAAUUUAACCAGCAGCAUUUUUUUUUACAUGUAUCGACAUUUAAAAGUGUCGUUAUAUACCGUUUUUAUUGUAGUGAAAAAAAAAA
rnacentral:lncRNA from 1 species